UCCAAAGACCAGAUCCACCGAGGGCUCUCGAUAAUCUCUCAAAAUCUGAGAGCAAACCUCUGUCUACCUUUCUUCAUCUUGCCCAUCCUUGAUGAAGUUCAGAUGAUGGUUCGUGUAUUCAGGAAGAUGAAGGCAAGGAUUUUAGAAAAGGCUUGCAAUCCACAAUUGAGUUAAAGAUCAUUCAGCUACCUCAUCACUAAUCUUCAGUUGCUUUGUUUGGAAAGGAAAGACCAAAGGUUUUUUUUACCCAUUAAGGCCAGUACAAUCCUCAAAUAAUUUAUGUGAAGUGAUUAAGUUGAGCUGGAUCAAUAUGUCACUAUGGAUGGUCUGAUAUUGAUGAAGAGCUUGAUAAAACUAAGGAUUUGCGGGUGAUAUUUAAACUAAAUGAGGUUCAUGCUAACUAGAUUUUAGAAGAUCUGUUGUGAGGUGUUCUUUGUGGUGGACUUGACUGAUCCAGUUGUUGUUGCAUAUGCGGAUUCCAAAAUGUCUACUGCUUACUCUCAGUUCAAGACUCGACUGAAGGAGGAGUGGACGACAACAUACCCAUAAAGCGUGCAUGACCAUAUGCACAACAUGCUUUGGUGGCCUCUAAGGUAAAUAGAAAUUAGUUUGAAGUUCAAAAGCAAAAUUUAAACAGACACUUAACUAGUUAGUCAAAUCUAUGUAUAUUUGUUCAAUGGAGUAUGGCAAGGAGUGGUCGCUAAUACAUAAUUAGGGAGUGAAACGCAAGGAUGAUAAUUAUGAAUGGAUCAAUGAGGUUGCCAAGAACAAAUAUGUAAGUCAGCUAGUGUAGGUUCUGGAUAUCACUAGGUUCUGUAUAGUACAAUGUGUUUGUUGGUGAUCCCUCCAUUCUUCUAGGGCCUUCAAAAAUUUACUGUACCAUCUAUAAAAUGAUUAAGCUAGUUGCAAGAAGCUUUGGUUGUUGAGCUAUGUUCAGCAAGAUGGGUCGGAGUGCCAUUGCAGAGUCCCUGUACAAGCUUUGCUGUUGUGAAGUUAUUAGAGGAUUAGGCACCAAAGAAAUAAUGGCAUGUUUAGGAAGAAGAGACUGGAUGAACUGUGCCUUGAAAGGUAUGAACAAUAUAGCCGAACCUAUAUACAAUCAUGGAUCUUACACGGUGGUGUAGGUAAAGUAGUAGUGGAUACGAAGGUGGUCAACAAAGCCGACACUCCAAAUUUGAUAAAUCUGUUGUCAAGAUUAUGGCUGAAAUCCCCAAAUAUAUAUAACAGGACACAAGUUAGAAGCUGCCAUUAAACAACUAGUUAUCAAUGUUUCUGCAAAGUAGCUCUUGACUCAGGGUUAUCAAUCGGCUGAUUUAUCAACUGUUUACUUCAGUAUGGUGUAACUUUUUUUUUAUGGACUUGAUGUUGUAUAUGGAUAGGGAUCAACCUUUCCAUAAUGGACAAAAAUAUCCGAACCUAGCCGAUGCUAUAUAUGUGCGUGCUGGACUAUAUCGUCUGAUGCAAUUAGGUACCUAAGCUCUAAACUCUAAUGAACUGGCUUUCUUCCUGUAUUCUCAUAUUGAAGCAAGGAAAUGGCCACUUGAAAGUUUUGUUGAAGGGAUCUCAAGAGCAGAUGAGUUGGUGCUCUAUUGAUGACUUUCCUCACACCAGAAUAUACUCACUCCACGCUUCCGUGAUUUGCAUUUGCUAACUUUUAGUCUGGUGCUCUAUUUGUGCAUAUGUAUAUGAUCUACAAAUAAACUAAUUGUUUUUUAUUCAAGGAAUAAAAAAAAAUCUGGAAUGACAUUUGGGGUACUUUUCUUU